GACGAACGCUGGCGGCGUGCUUAACACAUGCAAGUCGAACGAAGUGGCGAACGGGUGAGUAACGCGUAAUCAACCUGCCCUUCAGAGGGGGACAACAGUUGGAAACGACUGCUAAUACCCAAUACUGAAGGAGGUGUUUGCGAAUGAUUAGCUAGUUGGAGGGGUAACGGCCCACCAAGGCGAUCAUCAGUAGUCGGUCUGAGAGGAUGAACGGCCAAAUGUGGAAUGAGACACGGCCCAGACUCCUACGGGAGGCAGCAGUGGGGAAUCUUCCGAAAUGGACGAAAGGCUGACGGAGCAACGCCGCGUGAGUGAUGACGGCCUUCGGGUUGUAAAGCUCUGUUAAUCGGGACGCGGUACCGGAAUAGAAAGCCACGGCUAACUACGUGCCAGCAGCCGCGGUAAUUC
rnacentral:rRNA from 1 species